CUUGGAGCAGGCCUCUCCCAUUUGGCUGCUGCUGCUGCUUCUUCUGGUCAGAAGCAUCUCCAUGGAGGUGGUGCAGGUAUCCGCCAUGGCUACUUCUCCUGGGGACUGAACACGUGUGACUCAGCUCGCAGGCCUUUAGGUCCAUUGUCGGUUGCGUCGCCGGGGAGAGAGAAGAGACCAGGAAUUUGUGGCAGUUCGGGAAUGCAAAUCUUUAUUCAGUCGGACGCCUCAGAGUUGGGUGAGAGCACAGCGGUUCAGGCCACGUGGAGCUAGCAAAAUGGCCGCCUCCUGCUAUGUGCAGCAGCCCUUCUCCAGGUCUGCUCACGGAAGAGAGAAGAGCAAAAAAAGUGGUGAACCCAGAACAGCAGCAGGCUUUACAGGCAGGUUCCAGAUGCUAGCAGGAUGCCAACCAGACUUCCCUGGACAGACAACCCCACCAAUAUGUCCUGGAGCCCCGCAUCCCCAGAGCCCUUCCCCUAGGGAAAGAGAGAGACAGGCUGGGAGUAUGGAUUGACCUGUCAACGCCCAUGUUCAGCGGGGAAGCAAUUACAGAAGCCAGAUCUUCCACCUUCUGCAUCCCACAAUGACCUUGGGUCCAUACUCCCAGAGGGUUAAAGAAUAGGAAAGCUACCAGGGGAGGAAAUGAGAUAUGGAAAUCUAGUGGUGGGAAUUGUGUAGAGUUGUACCACUUUUAUCCUAUGGUUUUGUCAGUGUUUCCUUUUUUAAAUAAAUAAAUUGUUGUCAAAAUG